AAGAAGCUACUUUGUGCGUAUUGUUAAUUAAGUUUUAACCUUUAAGCUGUAAUAGGGAGUUUUAUAUCGAAGCUGGAAUGUCAUGCCUCCAUUGCAGAGGACGACAGGAACGUUUCUGCAAACACCCACUUUGAGGUGUGGUGGUUUAAAACUUUCUUACUUGCAUACGGCAAGAUGUAGCGAAAGC
rnacentral:other from 1 species